CGACAUCGGUUCCUCUUCCUGCCUGCAGCAAAUCAGGAUGAUUUUACGAUGUCGCAGAGAAAUUCGGGUCUUUUUCACCCAGGAGGCUUCAGGCUGCAGCCGACCAUAAUCACGGCUUCCUGGUUUUGCGGGACCCAACAAAA
rnacentral:snoRNA from 1 species